GAUGAACGCUGGCGGCGUGCCUAAUACAUGCAAGUCGAACGGACAGGCCUGCUUUCCCUUGUGGAUUGCGGGUACUCGGGUGGCUAACGGGUGAGUAACACGUGAGUGUUUUGCCCUCAACUUGGUUCUAAGCCCGGGAACUAGUACCGAAUACCCUUUUGAACCGCAGGGUGCUACCGUUGAUGGCAAUCUUUCUUUUAGUGGUUGGGGAUGCGCUCGCGGCUUAUCAGCUUGUUGGUGGGGUAAUGGCCCACCACGCCGGUGACGGGUAGCCGGACUGGGAGGGUGCACGGCGACAUUGGGACUGGGUUACGGCCCAGACGCGUACGGGAGGCAGGGGUGGGGAAUAAUGCAGAAUGAGCGGAAGCGUGAUGCAGCGACGCCGCGUGGGAGAUGACGGGCUUCGGGAUGUAAGCUCCUUGCGAACGAGAGGAAGGCAACUGAUUGGGAGGGUGGUGACGGUAGUGGUAGAAGAAGCACCGGCUAACUACGUG
rnacentral:rRNA from 1 species